CCCUUAGAUGCUCUGGGCCGCACGCGCGCUACACUGGUCGAUGCAACGAGUUUCUUUCCUUGGCCGACAGGCCUGGGCAAUCUUUGAACAUCGAUCGUGAUCGGGAUAGAUUCUUGUAAUUUUUGAUCUUAAACGAGGAAUUCCUAGUAAACGCAAGUCAUCAGCUUGCAUUGAUUACGUCCCUGCUCUUUGUACACACCGCCCGUCGCACCUACCGAUUGAAUGGUCCGGUGAAAUCUCCGGACUGGCGUGAGUCGGAGCAAUCUGACAAACACCGGAAAGUUGAUUAAACCUUACCAUUUAGAGGAAGGUGAAGUCGUAACA
rnacentral:rRNA from 1 species